rnacentral:rRNA from 1 species
UACGGGGGGGGCAAGCGUUGUUCGGAAUUACUGGGCGUAAAGGGUGCGUAGGUGGCCUGUUAAGUCGAACGUGAAAUCCCUGGGCUCAACCCAGGAACUGCGUCCGAUACUGGCAGGCUUGAAUCCGGGAGAGGGAUGCGGAAUUCCAGGUGUAGCGGUGAAAUGCGUAGAUAUCUGGAGGAACACCGGUGGCGAAGGCGGCAUCCUGGACCGGCAUUGACGCUGAGGCGCGAAAGCCAGGGGAGCAAACGGG